GAUGAACGCUGGCGGCGUGCCUAACACAUGCAAGUCGAACGAAGCAUCUUAUCUUGAUUUCUUCGGAUUGAUUGAUUUGAUGACUGAGUGGCGGACGGGUGAGUAACGCGUGGGUAACCUGCCUUAUACAGGGGGCUAACCGUUAGAACUGACUGCUAAUACCGCAUAAGCGCACAGUAACGCAUGAUACAGUGUGAAAAACUCCGGUGGUAUAAGAUGGACCCGCGUCUGAUUAGCUAGUUGGUGAGGUAAUGGCUCACCAAGGCGACGAUCAGUAGCCGGCCUGAGAGGGUGAACGGCCACAUUGGGACUGAGACACGGCCCAAACUCCUACGGGAGGCAGCAGUGGGGAAUAUUGCACAAUGGGGGAAACCCUGAUGCAGCGACGCCGCGUGAGCGAUGAAGUAUUUCGGUAUGUAAGGCUCUAUCAGCAGGGAAGAAAAUGACGGUACCUGACUAAGAAGCCCCGGCUAACUACGUGCCAGCAGCCGCGGUAAAAC
rnacentral:rRNA from 1 species